UUAAAAAUAAAUUCAAAGUUUGAAGUUUCUGUUACAAAGAAAUUUAGUUUAAGGACUAUUUUUAUUUUUAAA
rnacentral:tRNA from 1 species